AUUGAACGCUGGCGGCAGGCCUAACACAUGCAAGUCGGACGGUAGCACAGAGGAGCUUGCUCCUCGGGUGACGAGUGGCGGACGGGUGAGUAAUGUCUGGGGAUCUGCCCGAUAGAGGGGGAUAACCACUGGAAACGGUGGCUAGUACCGCAUAACGUCGCAAGACCAAAGAGGGGGACCUUCGGGCCUCUCACUAUCGGAUGAACCCAGAUGGGGUUAGCUAGUAGGCGGGGUAAUGGCCCACCUAGGCGACGAUCCCUAGCUGGUCUGAGAGGAUGACCGGCCACACUGGAACUGAGACACGGUCCAGACUCCUCCGGGAGGCAGCAGUGGGGAAUAUUGCACAAUGGGCGCAAGCCUGAUGCAGCCAUGCCGCGUGUAUGAAGAAGGCCUUCGGGUUGUAAAGUACUUUCAGCGGGGAGGAAGGCGGUGAGGUUAAUAACCUUGCCGAUUGACGUUGCCCGCAGAAGAAGCACCGGCUAACUCCGUGCCAGCCGCCGCCGUAA
rnacentral:rRNA from 1 species